UACGUAGGGUGCAAGCGUUGUCCGGAAUUAUUGGGCGUAAAGCGCUCGUAGGUGGUUUGUCGCGUUGUUCGUGAAAUGCCACAGCUUAACUGUGGGCGUGCGGGCGAUACGGGCAGACUGGAGUACUGCAGGGGAGACUGGAAUUCCUGGUGUAGCGGUGGAAUGCGCAGAUAUCAGGAGGAACACCGGUGGCGAAGGCGGAUCUCUGGGCCGAUACUGACGCUGAGGAGCGAAAGCGUGGGGAGCAAACAGG
rnacentral:rRNA from 1 species